rnacentral:rRNA from 1 species
GAUGAACGCUAGCUACAGGCUUAACACAUGCAAGUCGAGGGACCGGCGCACGGGUGAGUAACACGUAUCCAACCUGCCCUUUACUCGGGGAUAGCCUUUCGAAAGAAAGAUUAAUACCCGAUAUAAAGGAUGGGGAUGGGUUGCAUUAGGUUGUUGGUGAGGUAACGGCUCACCAAGCCUUCGAUGGAUAGGGGUUCUGAGAGGAAGGUCCCCCACAAUGGAACUAAGACACGGACCAAACUCCUACGGGGGGCAGCAGUAGAGAGUAUUUGUCAAGGGGCGCUAGCCUGAACCAGCCAAGUAGCGUGAAGGAGGAAGUCGUAUGGGUCUUAUACUUCUUUUAUAGAAGAAUAUGUAUUAUAUGAAUAAGGAUCGGCUAACUCCGUGCCAGCAGCCGCGGUAAUUC